GAAGAAAAAAUAGAAGGGAAAGAAGUGGAUUAAAUUUCUAGGAAAGAAGAAAAGGAAUCUCAGAUAUGAAGGAAGGAGAAAUAGAGAAAAGAAGAAGAAACCCUAAUUUCAGGGUUACAAGAUCUAGAAUAGAAGAAAUUGAGAAGAAAUUGAAAGGAAUGAGGGAAAGAGAUAGAAAAACAGAGUCGGAUUAGAGAGAAGAAAGAAUUAGGGAAAGGAACAGAAGAACAGAGUUGGAUUAGAGAGAAGAAAGAGAGGAAAGGAAGAAAAAGAAGAGA
rnacentral:misc_RNA from 1 species